rnacentral:pre_miRNA from 11 species
ACCUCUCUGGUGAGGUGCAGAGCUUAGCUGAUUGGUGAACAGUGAUUGAUUUCCUCUUUGUUCACAGUGGCUAAGUUCUGCACCUAAAGAGAAGUUG